GUUUAUGGUAUCUCUGAAGGCUGGUGGUAUGUGUUUACAGUACAGCAUGGUAUCUCUGAAGGCUGGUGGUAUGUGUUUACAGUACAGCGUGGUAUCUCUGAAGGCUGGUGGUAUGUAUUUAUGGUAUCUCUGAAGGCUGGUGGUAUGUGUUUACAGUACAGCAUGGUAUCUCUGAAGGCUGGUGGUAUGUAUUUAUGGUAUCUCUGAAGGCUGGUGGUAUGUGUUUACAGUACAGCAUGGUAUCUCU